UACGAAGGGGGCUAGCGUUGUUCGGAAUCACUGGGCGUAAAGGGCGCGUAGGCGGCUUGGUAAGUCGGGGGUGAAAGCCUGUGGCUCAACCACAGAAUUGCCUUCGAUACUGUCGAGCUUGAGACCGGAAGAGGUAAGUGGAACUGCGAGUGUAGAGGUGAAAUUCGUAGAUAUUCGCAAGAACACCAGUGGCGAAGGCGGCUUACUGGUCCGGUUCUGACGCUGAGGCGCGAAAGCGUGGGGAGCAAACAGG
rnacentral:rRNA from 1 species